CACAGUUUAAUUUCUUGUUAAAUUUAUUAACAUUUUAUUCUUUCUACGCUACCAAUGCUGAAGCCGUGGAAGAUUCACUAAAAGAAAAAAUAAUUGAAUGAAUUAAUCGACCAUUUUACUGAUAAAAAUAACUUAUUGACUGAGCUUGUUCGGCCUGGACAGUCGAGUCUGGACAGUAUACUCAUUCUUUUUCCGUUUGUGGACCAAGCCGUAGGCGAGGUGCACUACAAACGAAAAAAGAACUCGAGUCCAGUCCUCUCUCUCAGUCAAUGACAUAUAACACUGGUAACACUGAGAGGUUAGAAUAUUUUCAUAACAGUGCUAGACACGCGCACCUGAUGAUGAUCAGAUCAGGUCAGAAAUCCGCAGAACUCCUAACCUGAAGUUCAGGCCCUAAUUUGAAAUAGGGCCUGACACAAAACCUAUCUAAACCGUGGGACGCCCACAUGUUAUUUUUAGACACAAUCAUACAAUAUAUAGAUUGACACUGUGACUGUCAUGUGUUAUAGAUUUCAUUGCACGAAAAAUAUCAGAGGGAAAAUAUAAAGAUAUUCAUUAAUUUCAUGUUAUAUUCUCAUGAACAUGUCCGCAGAGUGUGCAUUUUAAACUUAAAAAUCCAAGGUACUUUUAAGAGUUCAGUUUCUCCAUUUAUUUUAACCAGAGCAAACAAAGAUUUAGUCUGUUCUGUCCAACAGUUCAAGGACUGAAUUCAACUUCAACUUUAUUUAAACACGGUACUAUUUCACAGUAUAUUAAAAUAUAUGCAAAUAGUUUUGUUCUCUACAUCUACUUUCCGCAAUUGGAAUUAAAGAGCGUCAAGAAAAUACGCUAAAAUCAUUUGUUUCAUCAUUAAACGAGGGAUCUAAACAAACGGCUUGACUGCCAAGCUUUCUCAAGGUCUCAACUUGCUGGACGCGGAUAUACAAUUUCUAACGGGAUAACAACAGCAAUAACGAAAUUCUUUAUCGUACCAUGACGAAGGCGAUAUGGCUCAGAAAACAACGCCGGUAAGACCUGAUAAGUAAGACUUUCACCGAAGCCAGUUGGCAGAACGGCAUCUUGGGCCUUGGCUGUCAACAGCAAGCUUUCGAAUGCACGACUUUUGCUGUUCUUUAAGCGUCGUGUGUCCAAACUUCGUCAAAGAUUUUGAUAAAGCCCUUUCAAAAUAUUGUGUGUUUGAUUUAUUUUCUGCCAUAAAGCAUAUUAAACAAAAGAAAUUCGAAAAAAUUCGACAAUACUAUUACGAUAAUCACAAUGCAAUUUGAUACAUGCAAUUGACCUUGCCACAUUGACCUAGCAAUUUACAAAAUAUUGUUUAUGUGAACUUCUAACCAAUCAAAAUCUUUCACGAUGCUGAUCAACCAAUCAGAUUUCCCGUCCACCAGAUGGACGGGAAUCCCACGGUUUAGAUAGGUUUUGUGUCAGGCCCUAUUCUGUGAUUAGGGCCUGAACUUCAGGUUACAGAACUCCUAGUUUGGCAACGCCAGCCGAAAGGAAAGCAGCGAAACAUUGAAACCAAAGCAAAACCAAAGCAAACGAAACAAUUUCGAACUACAGGUGUGGACAGACCGCUUCAUUUAACUACAGUACGCCGUAUUUGCCUGUAAAAUUCACGUCGGGCUCGGUUUGCUAAGUGCUGUCAAUGCUAGCCUGCGAACAGGCCCUGGGUUACGGGCGGCGCGAAGAAUAGAGGGCCUGCACGGAACUAUAGGUUUUCUUGGUAGUGGCGUUCGUAUAGAAACGCAGGCUUCUGAUUGGCUUACACUCGUUGACAAAAUUACUAAAAAUAGCAAAUGCCAACAACAGCAUUUUGAAGAAUUUGAACUUUAUUCAUUUUAAUAUUAUAUAUUAUAAGACUAUCGAUCAAAUAAAACUAGAAAUGGAACCAAAAGCAAUAGCAAAGCAUCACAGCAAAAAGUCUAUCAUAUAAAAUGACUUGAAUCUAUCGCUUAAAUCCAAUAUACGAAACUAUAACAGUAUUCUGAACUUCGUCUUCGGAUUGACAUCAGACUAUAGUAUAGUACAUUUUGAGGUCGUCGUGGCUUCACGGAUUAUUCUCAUUAGUGAGCAAGUCAGCAAGCGAAGGUACACAAAAGAUACCCAAAUAUGUACGAAUAAUUAUAUUGUUGAUCUUCGCUGGCAUGUCAUUUAGAUAUAAAUAUAUAUCGUACAUUAAACGCUGUUCUAUUUACUCAUUGUAUAAACUGCUGACAAUUUCGUCGUCGAUACGGCUUCCACCACUAUGCUUCCACUGUUGGCACUCGUGAUUUCGAAGAAAUUAAUAAAUACAUGCUCAUUUAUCAUUUAUUUAGGCCACAGUUAGUAAAAUUUUAGACGUAUUCGGUAUUCCAAAUCCCAAUCUAUCUGACCAUAUUUUAGUAAUGGCUAUUCAGAACAUUGUUCUUUCAGUCGCACAUAGUACAAGUAUUACUGUACAUUGAUUCAAUGCCAAUGGUAGUAUUUUAUGCGGCUUUAUAUUUGCAUGUGUAUUGAUAUCUAUUUAAUAUUUGAAGAAUUCUAUAUUUUUCCGAGUAAUAUUUUGUGCGGCCCGCUAAUACUUAACAAUUAUUGGAUGAGGUUUUUGUGAUAUACGGAAUUAUCAAG